rnacentral:rRNA from 1 species
AGAAUCAACGCUGGCGGCGUGCCUAACACAUGCAAGUCGAACGAGAAAGGGGAGCAAUCCCUGAGUAAAGUGGCGACCGGGUGAGUAACACGUGACUAACCUACCCUCGAGUGUGGAAUAACAUCGGGAAACCGAUGCUAAUACCGCAUAACAUCGGCGCUUUUAAGAGAUGCCGAUCAAAGGAGCAAUCCGCUUGAGGAGGGGUCGCGGCUGAUUAGCUAGUUGGCGGGGUAACGGCCCACCAAGGCGAAGAUCGGUA